GACGAACGCUGGCGGCGUGCUUAACACAUGCAAGUCGAACGGAAAGGCCCUGCUUUUGUGGGGUGCUCGAGUGGCGAACGGGUGAGUAACACGUGAGUAACCUGCCCUUGACUUUGGGAUAACUUCAGGAAACUGGGGCUAAUACCGGAUAGGAGCUCCUGCUGCAUGGUGGGGGUUGGAAAGUUUCGGCGGUUGGGGAUGGACUCGCGGCUUAUCAGCUUGUUGGUGGGGUAGUGGCUUACCAAGGCUUUGACGGGUAGCCGGCCUGAGAGGGUGACCGGCCACAUUGGGACUGAGAUACGGCCCAGACUCCUACGGGAGGCAGCAGUGGGGAAUAUUGCACAAUGGGCGGAAGCCUGAUGCAGCAACGCCGCGUGCGGGAUGACGGCCUUCGGGUUGUAAACCGCUUUCGCCUGUGACGAAGCGUGAGUGACGGUAAUGGGUAAAGAAGCACCGGCUAACUACGUGCCAGCAGCCGCGGUGAUACGUAGGGUGCGAGCGUUGUCCGGAUUUAUUGGGCGUAAAGGGCUCGUAGGUGGUUGAUCGCGUCGGAAGUGUAAUCUUGGGGCUUAACCCUGAGCGUGCUUUCGAUACGGGUUGACUUGAGGAAGGUAGGGGAGAAUGGAAUUCCUGGUGGAGCGGUGGAAUGCGCAGAUAUCAGGAGGAACACCAGUGGCGAAGGCGGUUCUCUGGGCCUUUCCUGACGCUGAGGAGCGAAAGCGUGGGGAGCGAACAGGCUUAGAUACCCUGGUAGUCCACGCUGUAAACGGUGGGUACUAGGUGUGGGGUCCAUUCCACGGGUUCCGUGCCGUAGCUAACGCUUUAAGUACCCCGCCUGGGGAGUACGGCCGCAAGGCUAAAACUCAAAGGAAUUGACGGGGCCCCGCACAAGCGGCGGAGCAUGCGGAUUAAUUCGAUGCAACGCGUAGAACCUUACCUGGGUUUGACAUGGAUCGGGAGUGCUCAGAGAUGGGUGUGCCUCUUUUGGGGUCGGUUCACAGGUGGUGCAUGGCUGUCGUCAGCUCGUGUCGUGAGAUGUUGGGUUAAGUCCCGCAACGAGCGCAACCCUUGUUCACUGUUGCCGGCACGUUAUGGUGGGGACUCAGUGGAGACCGCCGGGGUCAACUCGGAGGAAGGUGGGGAUGACGCCAAGUCAUCAUGCCCCUUAUGUCCAGGGCUUCACGCAUGCUACAAUGGCUGGUACAGAGAGUGGCGAGCCUGUGAGGGUGAGCGAAUCUCGGGAAGCCGGUCUCAGUUCGGAUUGGGGUCUGCAACUCGACCUCAUGAAGUCGGAGUCGCUAGUAAUCGCAGAUCAGCAACGCUGCGGUGAAUACGUUCCCGGG
rnacentral:rRNA from 1 species